CGUUCAUGUCUAUCCCUACCAGACACGUUCAUGUCUAUCCCUACCAGACACGUUCAUGUCUAUCCCUACCAGACACGUUCAUGACACGUAGGUUAAAAUUCCAAAACCAACUUUUAAUUAAUAUAUUAAUUUGGGGACAGGUCGAAACACACAUGAAACAUUUGCUGUUGCUAGCUAAUUUGUCUGGGAGAUAAACAUUGGGUUGCUAUUUAGUUUUGUUCAUCUUUCUUAUGUGGAUUUUAUAUGGCUGUGUGGACCUUGUUCAUCUUCCAAUCACUCACGUGGGUAUAUGCUUGUAAAAACCAAUGAGUAGAUGGUAAGGCGGGACUUACAGCGCAUUAAGCGUCUAAAAUAGAACCAAGUUCUAUUUUAGUGCCUGGCUAUGCAGACGGCCGUUGAUGCGCAUGAGCAGUUUGGAUUAAAUGAUUGAAUAGCAUGUAUGUGGACAUUUAUUUUCCAACACACAAGCGGACAUUUUGGUCAGUAUGUUAGACAGAGACUCAUUUUCGGGACACAUUUUGGGGACUCGUUUUCAAUGGUAAAUCUUUCUUUUCUUCUUAUAUAAUCUAUUUGGAAGACUGCACUUCUACAUUGAAUACACUGUGUAAAUAUUGCCAUGGGAUGAUUUUGAACUUUGAACUCUAGGUAAUGAAAAGGGGGCAGUCAGUCAGUGAUCACCCAGCAUAGCUUUAAGAAUGUUCAGCCAAAGUCUUGUUUUCUACAAUCGCUGUUUUUUUUAUACUUUAUUUUUCUUUUUGACCAGAUUGUUUUAAACUAUUAUUGUCAGGUGAAUGUAUUUCCAUACUUUCCAUCUCCCCAAAAUAGCAAAUGUUGUUGCAUGUAAAUGUGGACAGAGAAUGCAAAGAACUUGAAGCGUCGCUAAGAUUGUCCUUCUUCUAUUGCCAUGGUUGUGCUGUUGUUGAUCUCUUAUUGAACCGGUUGCCCUUCCAUUCCGUAGGUGAACAGAUACUCCAUCCGCUAGAAACACCCCAAUCUUUUUGUUUGUUUGCUGUUUUGUUAUUAACCUUGGCACGACUGUACUACAGAAGCAGACCAACAGGGACUAACAGCAACCACGCAGUCUACCAUCUGACUUUACCCCAUCUCACCAUAGCAGAUGGAUGUGAAAACCAGCUCAACAAAAGCUUCAUACAUUAACUAUAUAACACCAUAGUAACACAGUAAAUGUAUAUCUUUUUUAAAACAACACACUUUGUAAUUUAACCACGAAUAUUGUUUAUUUAAAAUGUUUGGUAUUUAGAAAAAACAAUCCUUAUCACUAGCCCCAUGCUGAAUCUCUUUCAGCACCGACUGAGAAGUAAUGAUGAUGCCAUGCUGUUCAUUGUUUAUUCCAUCAUCCAGCCAAAGCCAUGGGGAAUCACUCUUUAACAAGGACUGAGCUCAUCUGCUGCUGUGCCAAACUGCAGUCCACCUCUCUUCUAGCAGCAGCAUCUCAGAUGUGUGAGAUUCUUUGCUGGUUUAUUCAACAGUUUUAUUCAACUACUACCAUUAUGGUAGUUUCUUCUAGUUGACGCUUUAAGGCUCUGUUUUUCCGCCUCUUUUUCCCACUCUUUCGAUCUCGCUAGUUGCAUUCUAUCGAGGGCUGGAUAGGCUCUAUUUACAUCACAGGUGUGCCUCAGCUUAAGCACUUGGUUGGUGUCUUUCUUCAUAGCUAUGUUGUUGAAACCAGGAAGUUCUGUUUUUAUUUGUUAUUUAACCCUUAUUUUAUCAGGUAACUGAAAUCACAUUCUCAUUUACAGCAACAACCUGGGGAAUAGUUACAGGGGGAUGAAUGAGCCAAUUGGAAGCUGGGGAUGAUUAGGUGACUGAUGGUUUGAGGGCCAGAUUGGGAAUAUAGCCAGGACACCGGGGUUAACACCCCUACUCUUAUGAUAAGUGCCAUGGGAUCUUCAGUGACCACAGAGAAUCAGGACCCCGUUUAACAUCCCAUCCGAAAGACUACCCUACACAGGGCAAUUUCUUUUAGACCAGAGGAAAGAGUGCCUCCUACUGGCCCUCCAACAGCAUCUGGUCUCCCAUUCAGGGACCGACCAGGACAAACCCUGCUUAGAUUCAGAAGUAAGCCAGCAAGAGAGGUAUGAGGGCAGCUGAUUGGUUUAUCUGAGCAUGUUGUUGUGACCGUGGGUCAUUCUGGAGAUCCAUCGCUCAUUCUGGUUGGCUUGGUGUGAACAUAAUUGUAUAAACUUUUCAAAGAGCACAGUCUUGUUUUGCUAAAUUGAGCUGUGUUAACACUGACAGCUUUUUACAUUUUUUUGCUCAUUUCUCUCGAGGUGAGAUGUUGUUUCAUCGCCCUGACCUGCAACGAUGUUAAUGCAACCAUGACUAAUUCUGACAGGCACUCAAAAUGGUUUGGUGUUACAUGUGAAAUUUAGUUUUGGUUUCAUGGUCGUGUCCCCACAGAGCUGAGGUACUGAAAUGGGCAAGCCUGUUGAUUUGAUUGACGCAAGAGAAACAACAGCAAAAUUAGGGGAGGAAUUCAAUUGGCUGAAAUUGUUAAGUGUGUGUGUGUGUGUGCGCGCAUAAUAGUAAAUGUGCAAAUGUGAGGGUUUGUAUUGAGGCUCAUUCUCUGUGGGUACAGUAACUGUCUGUUUUCUUCUAGAAGGGCCUUUGAGCAGCGUCUCCUCAGUUUGUGUCUCACCUGACAGACACACAACACACACAUUCAUUCCCUGUCCUUUCCCACCAGCUCCUCUUUAGUAAAUAAGAUUCAUUAUCAUGCCAAAAUGUCAGACCUGUUUGCUUCAAACUAUGCAACAGAAUUCUGCUACUAGAAUAUGGUUGAUUUAUUUCCUCAAUUCUCCUCAACACACUCUCUCUCUCAUUCUCUCUCACUCACUCUCUCUUUCUCUGUCUGUGUGUGCUUGUCUAUGUCUCAAUGGAUCCAGUUGUUUCCCAUAUUUGAGUUCUUUCUACUAACAGAAACAGAAGUGUAUAAUGUAUGUAUGUGUGUACACGAUGUGCAAGCACCCUGAAUUGUUCUUUACUCUGUUGUAAUAAUGAUCAUGUUGAAUGCCUUGGUCUUUAUGUCCUGUAGUUUGAAUUUAACAGAACAAAAAAUGAUAAUCAAGCAAGAAAGUUGUUAUAAAUAUAUAUAUAUAAAUAUAUACAAAUCUAUAUACAUAAAAUAAAGCCAUUGGGAUUUGAAAUAUAUUUGUUUCAGGGUGAUUCUUUGUGUGAUGGUUCGUUGUAAUACAUGUGUUUCAGGGUGAUUCUUUGUGUGAUGGUUCGUUGUAAUACAUGUGUUUCAGG
ensembl:lncRNA